UACGGAGGGUGCAAGCGUUGUCCGGAUUUAUUGGGUUUAAAGGGUGCGUAGGCGGCCUUAUAAGUCAGUGGUGAAAGCCCACAGCUCAACUGUGGAACUGCCAUUGAUACUGUAAGGCUUGAGUACAGACGAGGUAGGCGGAAUUGAUGGUGUAGCGGUGAAAUGCAUAGAUACCAUCAAGAACACCGAUUGCGUAGGCAGCUUACUAGGCUGUAACUGACGCUGAGGCACGAAAGCGUGGGGAGCGAACAGG
rnacentral:rRNA from 2 species